AUAAAAUAUAGCACAUUAGUGCAAUUCUCUUACAAAGAAUAGGAAGUUAUACACUUAUUUUA
rnacentral:tRNA from 1 species